rnacentral:rRNA from 1 species
UACGGAGGGUGCAAGCGUUAUCCGGAUUUACUGGGUUUAAAGGGUGCGUAGGUGGGCAGGUAAGUCAGUGGUGAAAUCUUCAAGCUUAACUUGGAAACUGCCAUUGAUACUAUUUGUCUUGAAUUAUCUGGAGGUAAGCGGAAUAUGUCAUGUAGCGGUGAAAUGCUUAGAUAUGACAUAGAACACCCAUUGCGAAGGCAGCUUACUACGGAUAUAUUGACACUGAGGCACGAAAGCGUGGGGAUCAAACAGGAUUAGAUACCCUGGUAGUCCACGCCCUAAACGAUGGAUACUCGACAUCAGCGAUACACAGUUGGUGUCUGAGCGAAAGCAUUAAGUAUCCCACCUGGGAAGUACGACCGCAAGGUUGAA